rnacentral:rRNA from 1 species
GUCGAGCGGUAGAGAGGUGCUUGCACCUCUUGAGAGCGGCGGACGGGUGAGUAAAGCCUAGGAAUCUGCCUGGUAGUGGGGGAUAACGCUCGGAAACGGACGCUAAUACCGCAUACGUCCUACGGGAGAAAGCAGGGGACCUUCGGGCCUUGCGCUAUCAGAUGAGCCUAGGUCGGAUUAGCUAGUUGGUGAGGUAAUGGCCCACCAAGGCGACGAUCCGUAACUGGUCUGAGAGGAUGAUCAGUCACACUGGAACUGAGACACGGUCCAGACUCCUACGGGAGGCAGCAGUGGGGAAUAUUGGACAAUGGGCGAAAGCCUGAUCCAGCCAUGCCGCGUGUGUGAAGAAGGUCUUCGGAUUGUAAAGCACUUUAAGUUGGGAGGAAGGGCAUUAACCUAAUACGUUAGUGUUUUGACGUUACCGACAGAAUAAGCACCGGCUAACUCUGUGCCAGCAGCCGCGGUAAUACAGAGGGUGCAAGCGUUAAUCGGAAUUACUGGGCGUAAAGCGCGCGUAGGUGGUUCGUUAAGUUGGAUGUGAAAUCCCCGGGCUCAACCUGGGAACUGCAUUCAAAACUGUCGAGCUAGAGUAUGGUAGAGGGUGGUGGAAUUUCCUGUGUAGCGGUGAAAUGCGUAGAUAUAGGAAGGAACACCAGUGGCGAAGGCGACCACCUGGACUGAUACUGACACUG